CUGACUCCUAGAGGCAUUGAAAGUGUUGCUCUUGUGUCACAUAUGUGUCAGUAAGUUGCAAAGAAGAGAGGGGAUCUUUCUCUGCUCAGUGGUUUGACCUAUGAAUAUGUGAGUAAUUAGUAGCCUAACAUU